CCCAGCCGUAUGGCCGGACUGUGUUCCUACCUUGGUACGUGACUUCGUUGCCAGCGAUCUAGCUCGGCACGUUAAGUAAUGGAAUAUUUUUCCAUCUAAAAAAAAAAAAUCCUCACCUCAAUUCUUUCCGCCUCGUUCCCCAAUUUUCUCCAUCUCGCUCAACGACCUGCUCCCUGCCCUGUACGAGUCUACGAGACGCAUCCUCCUAGGGCGGCGCAACCCGAGGCGGCGGAGGAGGGAAGGCCAAAGAAGAGGGCGGAGGGUACAGGGCGUUCAGGCGAGGGGCGAGCCGAGGACCGCGCCGAGCUGUGGAGGGAGCGCUUUAGCGCCGGCUCGCCGGCGGAGGAGGGAGGCGACCCGUUCCAACCUGGCACUCGGCGGCGCGGUGGUCAGACCCGAGGCAGAGGAAGCACCUCGACGGCAGGGGGUUCUGCGCCGUGCCCUCCACUUCUGUACAUGGCGGUGUCUGCCCAACUUCCCCAUCUCCCCGUUGGCGCCUUCUAUCCACCACCUCCUGUGUGUGGCCACGUUGUCCGGGGAUUAGCGUCGUUGUUCUUCAGGUGACUGUCGGGGCAGGGUCUUGGUGCAGUUCUGCUGUCUCUGUUCUUCAGUGUCGCGUGUUGUUGGGCUGUGCGUGCGAGUUGUGCUUGGAGUUUGCUGUUUCGCUGGUUCCGCUUGUCUGUUGUUGUUUUCGUUGUCUGAUGUGUGUGUAUGCCCCACUGUGAUUCUUGGUUUGUCCGCGAGUGUGUCAGGCAUUGGUGAUCAGGUUGCGUUCUGCUGUGGGCGUGUUCUGGCGUCUUUGUUUGCGAUGGGGCGUUCCUCUGCUUCUGGUGGAUCGCGUGGCUUCAAGCGCUCUGGUACCAUUGUUGGAUGCUCUUUGCUGUGUGUUAGUUGCUUGUUCCUUUUUUUUCUUACUUCGUGUGGGGAUGCAAGGUUCUUGGGUCUCGUCUGGGUUUGAUUUUCAGGUGGCCAGUUCGAGGCUGGUUCUUCCUCUGGCGACUGGUGGUGCCAGCUAGGUACAAUCAUGGUGGUGGAUUGCGAUGGUUCUGGACUGGACUUGAGCGUUUCAGUUACGUGAGUUUCGUGCCAUAUGAUUUCUAAUGGUUCUGUACACUAUUCUAUUUCUGAUAUUGUUCUCUAACUCAUAUAUAUAUUGUUCACCAAUGUCCCUAUUUUUCUAUUUCUGAUAUUGCACUAGGCCAUUGGCUACACUGUAGUAUGGCUUUGUUCUGAUUUUUCUUUGUAUAUUGUAUGAAUGUGUUGCUGGAAUAGUAUAUAUAUGUUGUUUGACAACUGGAGCUGGAAUAGUACAUGUGUUCUCUGUAUCAAAAACUUGGUUUGGAUUUAGAUUUUUCUUUCUAGGUCUAUGCAUAUUUUCCUUGGUGCUUGUAUAUUGGCCGUAGCCACUUUGCUGGUGCAGGCACUGAUGCAUCUGGGGAGUAAGCGAUGGCCGUUUCAUCACUUAUGAGAAUUUUUUUUUCUGUUCCUUUCUCAUCCUGCUUCCUAUCUUAUUUAUAAUCAUCUGGCUGGACUGCUGCUUCUUGAAUGUUAACUAAACUAUUCCUCUAUUACUACAGAAUGCAUCAAGCUAAAUUGUCACUCAAUAGAGCAUAGUUAACUUUCAUGGUGUUUAUUAGAUUAGCUGCUCCUUUCCUUUUAUCAAUGCUUAUAGUGUACCUUUUCAGUUCGAAACAAUGAAAGCAAACAUGCAUGCUUCAGCAGAGAAGCAAACUCAGUACUCAACAAAAAUCCAUGAAUGGAAGCUUAUGUUUGUUUUCAUGCUUAAACAUUUGAUUACCGUCACCACUUCUGAAUAUGGUAUUGUCCAUAUAUGUUUCUGGUAUGCGGCAUGUACAUUAACCAAGGUGGGUUCUUUUAUCCCUUGCUCCUUAUAGUAUCAUGUUUGAUAUCUGCUUUCUAUUGCUACACUGCAAGAUAUCCUGUAGUAUUGCUUUUUAUGCUUAUACAAUAGCUGCUCUUGAUGUUAGACUUCAUGUAAUGCUUCUUGCUUAGCUUCAAAGAAUUUGGAGCGUUUGGGCCUGAAGUGGUUUGAUGUUUACCUGUCCUUUUGUAUCAUGGCAUACCUCUUGGAGUCAGUUCCAUCCAUACAUCUCUCCCAAUUCGCACAAGCGUGCUAAUAUUUAGACUAAACACAAAGAUUUCUCCUAUUUCAAGACUUGUAUGCCGGCUUUUUUGCAAAGAAACCCCUGUAAAUUUCCAAAAUAAACCUGCAGUCCACGUUCUGUUGGACCUUUUGCGAAAAACCCCCUGUGAAUUUUCGAAAUUAACGCGCAGUCCACGUUUAAUUGAAGAUGUGGGCUGCAGGUUUAUUUCGGAAAUUUACAGGGGUUUCUUUGCAAAAAGGCAGCGCCAAUCAAUUAGGGACAGAGGGAGUAUUAGAUUGGCAUAAGAAUAUAGUGAGAAAUUACAAGAAACCGGGUGAUUUCUUCUCCCAACUCCUUUUGUUGUUCUAGUAUGCAAGUAGCCACCUCUGCCCGUCCUACCAGUCUGCAAAUAUUCAAGUAUUCAAAUCCUGAACUGCAAGUCUCUCACUUCUAGUCAAAAUAUUCAAAGCCUGGACUGCAGGUCUGCAGAUUAGGCUAUAUAGUCAUCUUUUGCUCAUAUUUGUAAAACCAUCGUGGAUCGAUGAACCAAUAUUGGCUAUAGUUUCUUAAUAUCUCAGGUUACAUAACUACAAAUGAUAGGGUAUUGUAUUUGAUUUUAUGACUGACUGACUUGAAGUUGUUUAUGGUGCUAGAUUGAAACUAAUGCUUUCUCUUUUCCCAGUGAAGUUAAAAACUAAUCUUCGGUCCAUUUUCAAAAGUUAAUUAAGCCAUGUGGCACAUAAACACAAUCUCAGAUUGUUCUUUUCCUAUCCCGAACUCUAAAGCUGGGAUAUCCAGGUUACUGUUUCUUGGUUGAGUAUGUUGGCUACUAUGAUCUUUUAAGACAAUGAAAGAACUUACCUGGCUACUGUUCCAUCAUCAGCAGGAGUGUUGGAAUGGCCCAAGGUUUUGUACUCUCUUUCUUUGUACCUGUUUUUUUACAUCGGUUUAGUUUAAUCUUGUUUGCAGUCAAUGUUGGAGAAAAAAAGGUAUAUGAACUGCAGACAACAUCAUACUUAAUUAUUUUCUUAACAGAGGUAAACCUAUUCUCAUUAACUGCUUGGCUCACAAUCCAUCAGUUCAUCUUGUCGUCACAUGUAGGUCUGGAAUAUGUCUUCCUCUGCCAAAGGACCUGGUGAACCAUACUGUGAGAGUGUGAGGUGCAUGUACAGCCCUGUAUAUUGCAACUGUAUAUUGCAACUACGGGUGAAUCCAAAUUCGUUCCAGUUGUGUACAGCUACUAUUUAUCCAACUAUUUGCUGCAAAAUUUCUUAAAGACACUACCUGGUUAAAUUUUAAAAAUUGAGAUGCGAUUUUGUGAU